rnacentral:rRNA from 1 species
ACUCAAAGGAAUUGACGGGGACCCGCACAAGCGGUGGAGCGUGUGGUUUAAUUCGAUGCUAAGCGAAGGACCUUACCAAGGUUUGACAUGCUAAUGGUAGUGAAUUGAAAGAGGAACGACCACACUAUGUGUGGAGUUAGCACAGGUGGUGCACGGCCGUCGUCAGCUCGUGUCGUGAGGUGUUGGGUUAAGUCCCGCAACGAGCGCAACCCCUGCUCUUAGUUACCAGCGGUAAGGCCGGGUACUCUAGGAGGAAGGGGGGGAUGAAGUCAGGUAUCGUGCCCCUUAUAUCUUGGGCGACACACGCGCUACAAUGGGUUGGACAGAAGGGACCAAGACAGCGAUGUGGAGGAAAUCCUCAAACCAACCCCCAGUUCAGAUUGCAGGCUGCAACCCGCCUGCAUGAAGCCGGAAUCGCUAGUAAUCGCAGAUCAGCCAAGCUGCGGUGAAUACGUUCCCGGGUCUUGUACACACCGCCCGU